GGCGAACGCUGGCGGCAGGCCUAACACAUGCAAGUCGAACGAACCUUUCGGGGUUAGUGGCGGACGGGUGAGUAACACGUGGGAACGUGCCUUUAGGUUCGGAAUAACUCAGGGAAACUUGUGCUAAUACCGAAUGUGCCCUUCGGGGGAAAGAUUUAUCGCCUUUAGAGCGGCCCGCGUCUGAUUAGCUAGUUGGUUGAGGUAAUGGCUCACCAAGGCGACGAUCAGUAGCUGGUCUGAGAGGAUGAUCAGCCACAUUGGGACUGAGACACGGCCCAAACUCCUACGGGAGGCAGCAGUGGGGAAUCUUGCGCAAUGGGCGAAAGCCUGACGCAGCCAUGCCGCGUGAAUGAUGAAGGUCUUAGGAUUGUAAAAUUCUUUCACCGGGGACGAUAAUGACGGUGCCCGGAGAAGAAGCCCCGGCUAACUUCGUG
rnacentral:rRNA from 1 species